GGGGAAUCCUUACAGCUGGCAUUCUGGUACCAGGUUGGUUCUCUGAGAAGGCUUAGCGUCUUCUGGCUGGAUAAAGGCUCAGUAACCUUUCAUAUUCAAGCAGAUUUCUGUCUCCUGGUUGGUUUGUGGUCGUUGAUGGCAAUGUUGAGGUCCCUAUGGUAUAUGGGAACCCAGGAAGAGAACAAACAUACCGAUUACUUGCAUGGCUGGAUCCACGUCUGUUGUGGCCUCUUCCAACAUGGCCAGUAGCUUGGCUGAUAUCUGGUGCACGGAUUCGAUGUUGCUGAACAAGCCCUCCACGUCCAG